UAAAGCUAAAGUCAUCACACCUA
rnacentral:siRNA from 1 species